UGGGGAUUAUUGAGUUUUGUGAAUAUUUUCUUGAAACAUUGAGGGGUGCGGUUAUUUUGAAUGGCUAGCACACUUAGCUUUAAUUUUAUGAGAAGGGCAGGGUUUGUAUUGGUGGUUUUGGGUUCUUCAGACCUUGAUUGUUUUCAAUUUUCAAAGCGUACGAAGCAGAGAGCACUGUAAUAUUGUACAUACGGAGAUCCAUAUAACGGUCAUGAGGAAUGUUUACGAAAGGCAAGGAUGCUUAGAGCACACAGAUGCCGGAGACGAAACUAGCUUACAGGUACUUGCUUGUAUAGGUAUGAAAACCCACUUCGCUUAACAGUGUUGCACAGACGAAAAUAGAUUUGUGUGUGAUUCUGGAUCAACGAUUAAAAAGCAAGGGUUUCGUGUACCGGAACUGGAUGGCUUGAGAAUUAGCACACGUACAUAUUCAUUUUUUCUGCUUUCACCGGUUGAGCUAUAGUGCUUAGAAAUAAGCAAAGUUCGAGUUUUUGUGCAUUCUGGGCAGAAUUUCAAUGGGUUGAAGUGAAUCUCCUCAAGUGUCUACGCUCUUCUGAACCAAGAUGCCUUUCUAUUUGUCGCGUAAUUGCAAGCAGCAAGAUAUGAAACAAGUAAGAGGAGCUCAUGGCAAUGUGUAUCCAGAGUUACCCUUGCAACCUGCUGAAGACCUAGUAUUCUCAUGAGGGAGUAAAUUCUUUGGCUGAAAGGUCGCAUCAAUAAUUUAGGCAUCUCAAGAGCACCACUCAAGACAAGACUUUAAUUUGUUGUCUGGACACUACCGAGAAGCAAUGAAGUCUAACUUAUCUUUGAUAGUUGAUGGAACAUUCCAAUGGCAUGAACUUCAAGAAUCUAACAACACAUCGGGUCAUUCAGUUCACACACCUGAAAAAAUUAGUUUUAUUUUACCUGUAUUCAAAUUCAUGGUGCAUUCUAUUGCUGAAGUCUGUUAUCUUGAGCCAAUAGAAUUCUUACAAUCUUUAAGCAAGGCUUCGUUCCUUAAUAUCUAUU
rnacentral:lncRNA from 1 species